AUGAUCAUAAACCUUGCAGUAUCCAGGUAUCAGAGCAGCAUGUUGAUGAAUGAGGCUUACUGCUCAGCUCUGCCUUUCUCAGAGAUUGAAAAGAAAAAUGAUGGAGGAGAAUGUCCUGAAUCUGUUGAAGAGGAUCCUUGGAGGGUGUAGCAUCGCCCUCACUUUGUUGUCAUUCAAAAUCAUGUAACUACCUCUGACUAUUGGGGCCCUUUUGGAGAGAAAAUGAGACAGCUGACAUUGACAUGAGAAGAAGCUUUAGGAAAAGCUCUAUCCUCUACGGAACAAGGACAGUGGAGGCAUUGCUCCUCUCCUUGGUGAAAAGGGAUUUUCCAGAGUUAAAAGAUCAGGAUGUGUCUUCCAGUUGCUGUAGAGUAUUUUGAUGAAUGUUGAUCC
rnacentral:lncRNA from 1 species